UGGACCUUCCUUUGAAGACCCUUAGUUAUAUCGUAGUGUCGUCGAUAGCCUGCAAUAUCUGGCUUUUACUCGACCUAACAUAUCAUUUUUUGUUAAUAAAGUGUGUCAGUUCAUGCACUGUCCUUGUGUCCCUCAUUGGCAAGCAAUCAAACGAAUCCUUUGUUAUUUACAUCUCAUUCAACACUUUGGCCUUCAUUUCUCAUCAAUCUCCUUUCCCACUCUCUCUGCCUACUCCGAUGCUAACUGGGCUGGAUGCCCUAAUGACUGUAAGUCUACGGGUGGCUUUUGUAUUUACUUUGGAUCCCAUCUCAUUUCUUGGAGUUCUAAAAAGUUAGCCCAGUAUUGCUCGCUCUUCCACCGAGGCUAAGUAUAAAGUUGUAGCAAAUACGGCUUGUGAAAUUUUAUGGUUGCAAUCACUAUUGAAAGAGCUUGGAAUUUCUCUUUCUGAGCCACCUACUCUAUGGUGUAAUAAUUUAGAUGCAACUUAUCUAUCUGUUAAUCUUGUCAUGCAUUCUAGCACAAAACAUGUUGAAUUUAAUUAUCACUUUAUUCGUGAUCGGGUGGCUGCCAAAGCUCUUCAAGUUUCAUUUGUGUCUAACAAGGAUCAGCUUGUAGAUAUUCUUACUAAACUACUGUCCACAGCUUGGUUUAAUAUCUUGCGCUCAAGUCUCACUAUCUGCCCAGUGCCGCUUGAUUUGUGGGGGGCUGUUUAGGAAAUCAAACCAGAGCAUGAGGAAAUGGACAUUCUUGAAGCCUCCAGCAAGGAUGGUGCUGCAUAACCAAAAGAUGUAGACCUAGGUAGCAAAUAAAAUACUCUCGAAUUAUUCUUGUAACCAAUUCUGUUAACUGGAAUAUUCUACUGAGAUGUAAAAGCCCUUUAAAUACCUUGUGAUCUAUUGUAUUCGAGAGGUAGAAAAAUAUUUCCCCUUUGCAUGAUGAAUGAAAUUUCCUACCAUUGAGGCCUUCCUUCAUACACCUUUCGUGCUCUUUAUUUCUCAGCUUUAACAAUCUGCACCCCGUUUUUUGGUUUGAUUUACAAGCUUUAAUUAUUCUCAUUUUUAAAGUCUUGAAGAUUCAGCAGUUGAUGUGUUUCUAGGCGAAGAUGAGUUUUCUCGUCUAAAUUAGUACUGCCCUGGCUAUACGCAACUUCCCUGUUCGCUUUUUGUUUCUGUGAUCAUUACUCAAAUUUUCCAAAAAUGGAACUGGGUUUUGUUGGGUCUGUUUGGAUAAUGUAUAUAUGGGCAGAAGUUACCCACUUCUGACUUCUCACGUAGUUCUGAAUUCUGAUUGUAAUAUUUGAUGAUUAAGAAACUAGUACAUCUAGUGGCCUUUUCCUUUUCACAGACUUUUCUCCCUUUGCUCUGUGAUAUUCUUGAUAAAGUUUUUGGGCGA